rnacentral:rRNA from 1 species
UACGAAGGGGGCGAGCGUUGUUCGGAUUUACUGGGCGUAAAGGGCGCGCAGGCGGCUUAUUUUGUCAGGCGUGAAAGCCCCGGGCUUAACCUGGGAACUGCGUUUGAUACGGAUGGGCUAGAGUUCGGGAGAGGAGCGUGGAAUUCCCAGUGUAGAGGUGAAAUUCGUAGAUAUUGGGAAGAACACCGGUGGCGAAGGCGGCGCUCUGGACCGAGACUGACGCUGAGGCGCGAAAGCGUGGGGAGCAACAGGG